UUAGUUCGGAUUGUAGGCUGCAACUCGCCUACAUGAAGUCGGAAUUGCUAGUAAUCGCGGAUCAGCAUGCCGCGGUGAAUACGUUCCCGGGCCUUGUACACACCGCCCGUCACACCAUGGGAGUCGGUAACACCCGAAGCCUGUAGUCUAACCGCGAAGGGGGACGCAGUCGAAGGUGGGAUUGAUGGACUGGGGUGAAGUCGUAACAAGGUAAC
rnacentral:rRNA from 1 species